rfam:Planktothrix tepida PCC 9214 isolate BBR_PRJEB10993 genome assembly, scaffold: BBR_B_PL9214_scaffold47
AGGAGCCGUGUGCGGUGAAAAUCGUAAGUACGGUUCUGAAUGUGAGGUGAGGGUUGUAAAGCCCUCAUCGACCCCUAAU